rnacentral:rRNA from 1 species
UACGUAGGGUGCAAGCGUUGUCUGGAAUUAUUGGGCGUAAAGAGCUCGUAGGCGGUCUGUCGCGUCUGCUGUGAAAACUCGGGGCUUAACUCCGGGCCUGCAGUGGGUACGGGCAGACUAGAGUGCGGUAGGGGAGACUGGAAUUCCUGGUGUAGCGGUGAAAUGCGUAGAUAUCUGGAGGAAUACCGGUGGCGAAGGCGGCAUCCUGGACCGGCAUUGACGCUGAUGAGCGAAAGCUAGGGGAGCAAACGGG